rnacentral:rRNA from 1 species
AACAUCGCCCUUUGAAAAAAUAAUUAUAAAGGGUACUGCCUGCCCAGUGAUAAAAAUUAAAUGGCCGCGGUACUUUGACCGUGCAAAGGUAGCAUAAUCAUUUGUUCUUUAAUUGAGGACUAGUAUGAAAGGCAAAACGAAAGCUUAACUGUCUCCUUUUUAAAAAAUAAAAUUAAUAUUUUCGUGAAGAAGCAAAAAUAAUAAAGUAAGACGAGAAGACCCUGUCGAGCUUAAGAAAAUUUCUAUAAUAAAAUUUUUUAAAGAUAAACAAAUUUUACUACAAAAAUAAAAUAAAAAUAUCUUUGGUUGGGGCAACCACGAAGAAAAAAAAACCUUCGUUCAAAAAAAGAAAUUUACAAAUUUAAAAAUUAUUUAAAAUUCAAAAGAUCCAGAAAAUUCUGAUCAUAGAAAAAAGUUACCGCAGGGAUAACAGCGUUAUUCUCUUUAAGAGCUCUUAUUGACAAGAGAGUUUGCGACCUCGAUGUUGGACCGGGGCACCCAAGAGGUGUAGAAGCCUCUAAAGGUAGGUCUGUUCGACCUUUAAAGCCCUACGUGAU